rnacentral:rRNA from 1 species
GAUGAACGCUGGCGGCGUGCCUAAUACAUGCAAGUCGAGCGAACAGACGAGGAGCUUGCUCCUCUUACGUUAGCGGCGGACGGGUGAGUAACACGUGGAUAACCUACCUAUAAGACUGGGAUAACUUCGGGAAACCGGAGCUAAUACCGGAUAAUAUAUUGAACCGCAUGGUACAAUAGUUAAAGACGGUUUUGCUGUCACUUAUAGCUGGAUCCGCGCCGCAUUAGCUAGUUGGUAAGGUAACGGCUUACCAAGGCAACGAUUCGUAGCCGACCUGAGAGGGUGAUCGGCCACACUGGAACUGAGACACGGUCCAGACUCCUACGGGAGGCAGCAGUAGGGAAUCUUCCGCAAUGGGCGAAAGCCUGACGGAGCAACGCCGCGUGAGUGAUGAAGGUCUUCGGAUCGUAAAACUCUGUUAUUAGGGAAGAACAAAUGUGUAAGUAACUAUGCACGUCUUGACGGUACCUAAUCAGAAAGCCACGGCUAACUACGUG